rnacentral:lncRNA from 1 species
UUUGUUCCAUUCAUUUCAAGCCUUAUUCCCCAUCAUUACCCAACAUGUAGAAACUGUGAGAGGAAGUGAGGAUUCAGUAACUUGGUGAAAGCAAAAGAGAAAAGAAAGGUCAAGAAAAAGAAAAGAAAAAAAGAAAUCUUGUUGUGAUGAAAAGAAAAGAAAAUAACAGGUCUAAAAUAGAGAAAAAAAAAGAAAGGGCAAAAGAAUUGACAGAAAACUGAGACCUGACAAAGUUGAAAACCAAAGAGAAAGAAAAAAGAGAUUGGACUGGCC